GCCAUGGGAUAGCUCAGACAAUAAAGCAUGAGACUCUCAACCUUAGGGUUGUGGGUUCGAGCCCUGCGUUGGGCA